rnacentral:lncRNA from 1 species
UGAACACAGGCUCCCACCUUCAACUUAUCACUUCCUUACCUUUGCUGGGGUACCUGAUGACUUUAAAGAGACUGUUUCUUUGGAGAAGGUGGAAUACGCUUAAAGAUUGGUCUUGCCUUUAAAACACCAUUUUAAAAGAGACCAUUUGUUAGUGCCUGAAAUCUGUAACUGGCUUAAAAGCUCUGUCAGCUGGAAAGGAACCUGUCAGUGUGAUAAUGGAAAAGAAGAAGAUACAUCAGAGAGAGGAUUUGCAAGUUAGAAAGCAUCAUUUUCGACUGGCCCUUCUCUGUUCUCCCACCAGCUCUUCUGAGGAUUAAAGGAGGUAACUUAAGAAGAAGAGUUAAUGAGAAAAUGUCCAGUCUGAAGGAAAAAAGUGUAAGAAAUGAUUCCCAAAUGUGAACACAUAGAAACCAUA